rnacentral:rRNA from 1 species
AUACGUAGGGUGCGCGCGUUGUCCGGAAUUACUGGGCGUAAAGAGCUCGUAGGUGGUUUGUCGCGUCGUCUGUGAAAUUCCGGGGCUUAACUCCGGGCGUGCAGGCGAUACGGGCAUAACUUGAGUACUGUAGGGGAGACUGGAAUUCCUGGUGUAGCGGUGAAAUGCGCAGAUAUCAGGAGGAACACCGGUGGCGAAGGCGGGUCUCUGGGCAGUAACUGACGCUGAGGAGCGAAGCAUGGGUAGCGAACAGGAUUAGAUACCCUGGUAGUCCAUGCCGUAAACGGUGGGCGCUAGGUGUAGGGGUCUUCCACGACUUCUGUGCCGUAGCUAACGCAUUAAGCGCCCCGCCUGGGGAGUACGGCCGCAAGGCUAAAACUCAAAUGAAUUGACGGGG